rnacentral:sRNA from 1 species
GCUGGGCACAGUGGUGCAUGCCUAUAAUCCAAGCAACUUGGGAGGCUGAGGCAGGAGGAUUGAGAGUUCAAAGCCAGCCUCUG